rnacentral:rRNA from 1 species
AUUGAACGCUGGCGGCAUGCCUUACACAUGCAAGUCGAACGGUAACAGGUCUUCGGAUGCUGACGAGUGGCGAACGGGUGAGUAAUACAUCGGAACGUGCCUAGUAGUGGGGGAUAACUACUCGAAAGAGUGGCUAAUACCGCAUGAGAUCUACGGAUGAAAGCAGGGGAUCGCAAGACCUUGUGCUACUAGAGCGGCCGAUGGCAGAUUAGGUAGUUGGUGGGAUAAAAGCUUACCAAGCCGACGAUCUGUAGCUGGUCUGAGAGGACGAUCAGCCACACUGGGACUGAGACACGGCCCAGACUCCUACGGGAGGUAGCAGUGGGGAAUUUUGGACAAUGGGCGCAAGCCCGAUCCAGCAAUGCCGCGUGCAGGAUGAAGGCCUUCGGGUUGUAAACUGCUUUUGUACGGAACGAAACGGUCCGGGUUAAUACCUCGGACUAAUGACGGUACCUGCAGAAUAAGCACCGGCUAACUACGUGCCAGCCGCCGCAGUAA